AAAAAGAAAAAUGGUUAAGCUUAAGGUUGCCACCCUGUUUAUCCUGGUAACCCUUAUCCUCAGCUCCACCGCGCCGCUAACCUACUCCGCCCGCCACGAGCCAGGCUUUUCUAUUGGCUCCUUGGCCAAGGACCAACAACAGGAUGUUGAUGAGGCAGAGGUGGUAGAAGAAAGCUGUGAAGGAGCUGGAGAAGAACAGUGCUUGAUGAGAAGGACACUUGCUGCU
rnacentral:misc_RNA from 1 species